UACAGAGGUCUCAAGCGUUUGUUCGGAUUCAUUGGGCGUAAAGGGUGCGUAGGCGGCGCGGUAAGUCGGGUGUGAAAUCUCGGAGCUUAACUCCGAAACUGCAUUCGAUACUGCCGUGCUUGAGGACUGGAGAGGAGACUGGAAUUUACGGUGUAGCGGUGAAAUGCGUAGAUAUCGUAAGGAAGACCAGUGGCGAAGGCGGGUCUCUGGACAGUUCCUGACGCUGAGGCACGAAAGGUCAGGGGAGCAAACGGG
rnacentral:rRNA from 1 species